rnacentral:rRNA from 1 species
ACAUUUCUUUUAGUUUCUAUUAAAGGUAAUUUCUGCCCAAUGAUUAAAUUUAAAUGGCUGCAGUAUUUUGACUGUACAAAGGUAGCAUAAUAAAUAGUCUUUUAAUUGGGGACUCGAAUGAAUGAAAAAAUGAGAUAUCAAUUUUAUUUUAAAUAUUAUUAUAAUUUAAUUUUUAAGUUAAAAAGCUUAAUUAUAUUAUUGGGACGAUAAGACCCUAUAGAACUUAACUAGAAUUAUUAAAUUGAUUUGGUUUAAUAAUUAUUUAUAAAUAGUUUAAUUGGGGUGAUUAAUAAAUUUAUUUUACUUUAUUUUUUAUAUUCAUUUCUAUAUGUUUUUUUGUUCCAUUUAAUAAUGAUUAAAAGUUAAAGUUACCUUAGGGAUAACAGCGUAAUUUUAAUGGGGAGUUCAUAUCUAUAUUAAAGUUUGCGACCUCGAUGUUGAAUUAAGAUAAAAUCAGGGGGUAGAUUCUUUGUAUUUAAGUCUGUUCGACUUUUAAUUUCUUACAUGAUCUG